UGCGAGCGUGGCGGAAUCGGUAGACGCGCCGGAUUUAGGUUCCGGUGGGACACCCCGUGUCGGUUCGAGUCCGACCGUUCGUACCAU
rnacentral:tRNA from 1 species